rnacentral:lncRNA from 1 species
CCAGGUGUGGCAGGAGACUCCCUCACGGCAGAUGAGACCCUCCGUGCAGUUUCCCAUGGGAACCCUGCUUCCCUGGCCAGCUGACUGCUAGGGGGGCUCCCCUGUUCCCGCCCUCCUCCUCUCCAUCUCUGCUCCCCAGCAGCCCCCUGUUUCCUGUUGGCCCCCAUGUCCCCCCUCACCUGCAGGGCAUCGCUGAUCUAGACUCUGUGGCCUGGAGCCAGUGAGCCGAGCUCAGGAAGCCUGUUUUCCCGUCUUCCUCUGUCCCUGGCCCAGUGACCUCCCGUGGUAAGGAAGGUCACGUGGGGGCACAUUGCAGCCCCUUCAAGGACCCUGCAGAGGGAGCAGCAACGAGGAUGGUGCCAUCGACUGAACUCACUGGAAACCGGGCUGUAGCCGUCUACGCACUUAGUUUUACUUAUUCCUCACCACAGCGCUGGGUCAUAUCCUCCCCGUAUUACAGAGGAGGCACCUGGGGCUCAGAGAGGUCAGGCACCCAUCCUGAGCCACACAGCCGGCCAGGGGCAGAGCCAGGGCUGCAGCCCAGACCACCUGGACCCCCGAGCCUGGCUCCCUACCUGGGACAGCUCUCCUCCCCACAGGGGUCACAUCCUGUGCCUCCUUCCCUGAUGCCGAGAGGCUCCAACGAGACAGGAGACGAGAAGCACUUCACCGGGAGCCUGAAGACCCUCCUGAGAGGCAGCCGUGAUCACCCCACAUUAUCAUGGAAACCGAGGACCAGAGAGGCUGAGAAACAGGCCCGGGGUCCCCGUGCUCACACUGGUGGGGCUUGGGUUGAGAGGUGAGCAUCCUCUGAGCUCCUUGCAGGCAGAGGCUGUGUCCUGAGGGUCAUCACAACUGUGCACGGUGUGUGUGCGUGCGUGCGCGCGUGGCGCGUGUUGAAGAGCCUUGUCAUUCCGGGGAGCCCCUCCUCCCUGCCCCCCCUCACUGAGCAGGCUCCGGGCCUGUCCCGGGUGUGUGACACCAGAGCCCAGAAGAAGCUCACAGCCUGGAGGGUGGUGACACGGGGCAUUAGACCUCCACCAAGCUGACUUUCUGUGGCUAAAACACAGUCACCUGUUCCCGGCGUUCUGGGCCCUGUCCCGCGAGGCCCGGCUGCCCUCCCGGCCUGCCCAGCCUCCUCUCUAGGUGCCCUGAGCCCCAGCCACGUCCAGCCCACUAGGCACUGGGUUCCCCUAGGCGGCCCCUCCGCGGACUCAUCGAAGUGCCGUUACACGCCUGCUGCGUGCUGCACUGGGCCGCCUCGCUGUGCUCCCGGGGCUGCAGUCAGGCUCCCCCGCCGCGGACAAGCCACUUUGCCUCCCUGAGCCUCAGUUUCCUCAUCUGCAAGAUGGGAAAGAUUCCACCCACCGCAAAGGAUCAACGUGGGGAUUAGAGGAGAGAACACGCAAGCAGGCACCAGUCCUGCUGGU